rnacentral:rRNA from 1 species
UUCGUAGGCGGUGCGGUAAGUCGGAAGUGAAAUCUCUGGGCUUAACUCAGAGGCUGCUUUCGAAACUGCCGUGCUAGAGUGCGGGAGAGGCGAGUGGAAUUGCAGGUGUAGCGGUGAAAUGCGUAGAUAUCUGCAGGAACACCCGUGGCGAAGGCGGCUCGCUGGACCGCAACUGACGCUGAGGAACGAAAGCUAGGGGAGCAAACAGGAUUAGAUACCCUGGUAGUCCUAGCCCUAAACCAUCAGGACUUGGGGUGGCCCGCGUUGGCGGGUCGUCCCGGAGCUAACGCGUUAAGCCCUGCGCCUGGGGAGUACGGUCGCAAGGCUGAA